UACGGAGGGUGCGAGCGUUGUACGGAAUCAUUGGGCGUAAAGGGCGCGUAGGUGGCCCGGUCAGUUCGUGGUGAAAGCGCGGGGCUCAACCCUGCGUCGGCCAUGAAUACUGCCGCGGCUGGAGCACUGUAGAGGCAGGCGGAAUUCCGGGUGUAGCGGUGGAAUGCGUAGAGAUCCGGAAGAACACCGGUGGCGAAGGCGGCCUGCUGGGCAGUUGCUGACACUGAGGCGCGACAGCGUGGGGAGCAAACAGG
rnacentral:rRNA from 1 species